rfam:Lupinus angustifolius cultivar Tanjil chromosome LG07, whole genome shotgun sequence.
UAUGCCCACUCCAAGUUGAGAGUUGAUUCAUGGGACUUGCGCUGAGGCAUAGGUCUCAUGAUUCCUAGACCGGAGGGCACAACAUGAGGCUGGAUUUCACAGAACAGCGGCUACCUCCCUCUCUCAACAGUGGAGGGAUAACAUG